rnacentral:rRNA from 1 species
UACGUAGGGUGCGAGCGUUAAUCGGAAUUACUGGGCGUAAAGCGUGCGUAGGCGGUUCGCUGUGUCCGAUGUGAAAGCCCCGGGCUUAACCCUGGGAAUGGCAUUGGAAACUGGCGGGCUUGAGUGCGGCAGAGGGGGGUGGAAUUCCGCGUGUAGCAGUGAAAUGCGUAGAGAUGCGGAGGAACACCGAUGGCGAAGGCAGCCCCCCUGGGUCGACACUGACGCUCAGGCACGAAAGCGUGGGGAGCAAACAGG